CGGCCGGAAGUGAGUUCUGCGCUCCUGGCAGCGAGCGCGCCGGAAGUUCCGCCCCCGGGGCUGCCGAGAGUGGGGGGGUGCCCCGCGCGCGGAGGGAGGUGGAGUGCUGGGCGGGUGCUUGGCCCCCACGCGCACGAUCGUAGCGGGGACCACGCAUCUCUUGGGGCGGCCUGAGCCUCGGCGGGUGCUGCUGCUUCGAGUGCGGAGAGGGCCUAGCGGUGCGGGCGAGGGGAAGGGCGCUCGGGGCGCGUCUCUUAAGGCGUUGCUUUUCUCAGUUCGCUUCUCCAGCCGCGGAUUGAAGACUUACCUACCAGCAGCUACGGAGGAUGAAUGAAUUUAAAUACAAAUGCGAACGUGUUAUGUCAAUGAACCCCCAUCACUCCGAGGAAAUUGCAGCACCCCAGCUGUAUGCUGUUCUGCUUGAAGGUAUUGAAACCCAGAUUGCUGGCCUGGUGGAAAUGCUUCAGGUAGAGGUGUACAGGUGCAGGCUCUGCCAGUUCAGAAGCAGCAUCAAAAGUAAGACCGAAACACAGCUGGCUCAUAUGCAUGAAACAGAUAGAAUCAUUAAGGUUGGGGAAGACCUCUAAGAUUAUCAAGUCUAACCGUUUGUGCAACAUCAGCAUGCCUACUAAACCACGUCACAAAGUGCUAUGCUUGCAUGUUUUUUUAACACCUCUAGGAAGGGAGACUCCACCACUUCCCUGGGCAGCCUAUUCUAAUGCUUCAUCGCUAUUAAAGUAAACUUGAAGUAAAAAAGUUUUUUCUGAUAUCGAAUCUGAACCUUCCUUGGCACAACGUGAGAUAACACAUCUCAGAUUUCAAGCUGUCCGAAAAUGGACCAAGGUGAAAAUGAGUUGCAUAGCAUGGGAGAUGAAGCUCACCAAGACAAUAAGGAAAGCAAAGAAAAUCUUGCAAAAAAUGUCUUAUUGUCUGUGUACCAGAUGCUUCAAAAUAGGAGUCCUCACUCUUGUGAUGUAAGACCAAGCAGUCAGAAUAGUAAUCCUCAUGCCUCUUCUGUGAAGUGAACACCUUGUUUGAGAGAACAGCAGCUCGUUUGCAGCUUUUGAGGAGUUGUGUUCUGUAGUGCUGACUUCUCUUUCAUGUUCCAAGAGCACAGAUGAAGAAGCAGCAGCCCAGUCUGUGCAUCUUAGCGUGUUUCCAGUGUUGGAACUUGGACCUUAACAACAGAGAUUAAAACCCCUGAAGCUGAACCAGGUUGUAACAAUUGCCAAAUCAGAAGAAAGCUAGAUGUGACAGCAAAGGGUUAGUUCAUCCUGACAAAGGUGCUUGUGUCUUAAACCUAAGUUCUGAGAGAAUGCAGCAUUUCUGCAUUGGAAGAUGCUCAUAAAUCUAUAAAAAGAGUCAUGAUCAGGAUCCUGGCUUUAAAUAUGUUUAUUGUCUUGUGACUGAGAGGGACUUAACAGAAAAUUAUUUAAAAUCACACAAAUGAAUAAAAGAAACCUGCUGAUGCCUCAUAUGUUAAAUUUUUUAUAUCACAAAGUGUCUGGAAAGUUCACAGACACAGCCAUCAGAAGAAACCUCAUCUUUUUUAGUGCACAGCAUAUUCAUUCUCUUUUGAAAAUGAGCAGGUCCUGAGACAUCUAUACUCUUCAGGGUCACUGGCUUCAGAUUUAUCAUGACAUCCUAACAUAUAGUGUGUUGGUGGUAAUGUACUGACCACUGAACGAUGCUGAAACGCCAAGCUGGUGUACACUGAAUGGAGGGUCAGAAAUCAAAAAAACAUUUACAGACUGGGUCCCUGGAGCUCUCCUUGGAACCAUGCAUGUUCAACAGAAUCUGUUGCAAGUCCCAGUGUUGCAUCCUGGAGCUUAGGUUGAAUAGCUGAUGGCAGAAUGACAUAAAGGAAAUGUUCUUGUAGUUAGCUCUGCAGAAACACAUGGGAGCAUGUGCCUCCAUCAAAGCCUUUCCUUGCCAGCGCUGUGAGUAGAAAACAAGGCACAAGGCCUUUCUGAUCCAGCAGAUGCAAAUGCGUGCAGGUGGAUUGCAGGCAAGAAGCCUUUCAAACUUGAAAUCUGCUCUUAUGCCUCCAUUGAUGCAAGCUCUCUGCAGUGUCACUUCCAAACACAUGCUAGUGAGAAGCCCAACAAAUUUUGACUUGGUUCAUAUUGUUGCAUUCAGAAGAGCUUGGACCUUCAUACGCGCUGACAUCACACUGGUGAUACAGUAUUUGGCUGUAGUUUUUGCUGCAAUUCUUCUCCUCUGACAAACAGCCUCUCUGAAAACACUUUAAGAAACAUCAGCCCGGUUCAGGAUUGUCAUUAACCAGUUCCCAGUCCUCCUUUACCCUCAAAUCACUUCCUGUGGAACAUUAGGUCUUCACACUUAAACUUCCACCAAAGCAUCCCGGCAAAUAAAGAAGCUGUUGGCAUUGUCUCUGUGCUGAAAGCCACCGGUCAUCUUGGAGGCCAGAAGAAAUGGUCCUAAUAUAGUAAUUAGAAGCACUUAGAAUGGUCUUCCCAAAAAGCUUUGUGUGCAUUGUGGUACAGGUAGUAACUCCGAUGUGCUGAGAGGAGCAUGGAGGUUUAUGUUGCACAAAGGAUGGACAUGUUUAUCUUUCUUCUGGUUACUUCUUGCUGACAUAUGCCACUUACUUACAAAUUAAGAACUUGACUUUUUUAAGGCACACUUAAUGUACCAAAGCAGACAGUGAACCCUUCAGGUGGUUUCUGGACUACGUCUCUCAUUUCUGAUACAGGUCUCUGUAUAAAACUGAAAAUGGUUCAAGAAAAUCUACUUAUAAUGUGGUAAAAAAGUUUCAUUGUAUUUCUUUAUGCUUAUUUUUAAUAGCAAAAUAUGCCUAUUUUAAAAAGCUAAUGCAAUUUUAAAGUGAAAAUACAAACUUGAAAUAUGACAUCAAAUAAACUUGACUUGAAACUUCAGUGGUUAAAUAUAUCUGUACCUUAUUUAGCCAAACAGAAACUGUUCACGUUAAAAAAAAAAAAAAAAAAAAAGAUUAAAUUGGAAGAAUGGAAUGCUUUCUAACUUUAGGCUGGUUUUACUGGUUUUACUCUAGGACUCCAUGUUUAUUCUGUGACUGUGGUGGUUUUAUGGAGUCUGUUAUUAGCUAUGAACGUUACUUAGGAAACGUAAUAGAAAACCUAACAUUGCAGCUCCCUACCAGACAGAAGCAAACAGUGACCGAAAUGUUGCUUACACUGUUCUCUUAAAUACAAUUAUAAAGAAUAUAUUACUUCAACAGGAUAAAAGUUUCCCUUUAGAUAAGUUUGUAGAUUUCUUGAUAUACAGCGAAAUCUUAGUAAAAGAGUUACAUGCAGAGUACCGACUAGCAAAAUGUAGGUAGAAUCCUUGUUAAAGAAUUAAAGAGAAACUUCGUUCAGAAAAGAUAGUGUUUAUACAGUUAGGAACUGAUGGGCAUCACAGACCUCAUCUUCCUGCUGUACUGUUGGAACAGAAAAUGAUUGGAAAUGCAUACCAAGCAUAAAUACUUGGCUCUUUUUCAUCUAGAUCUGUAACAGUUGGGCAUUUGCAACUGAGCACAUACGUAAUUGCUAAUGGGAAAUAUUUUCUAUCCUUAAUACAAUUCAUGUUGCAAUACUUUAACUUGUUUGUACUAUAGUCAGAUGGCUCUUUAACUUAAUUUCUUGAAUGGUAGGUACUCAUUUACGGCAACAGCAGUACAUUAAGGGAUUCUAGCAGCUUUUCACUAACUUUGCAUUGGGGAAAUUUUUUGAUCAUUGUUGAUGUGAGGCCCAGAGGACAUUGACUUAACAUGCUGAUUGUUUAAUAGCAUUUAGCAGUAGCAAAAGAUAUGAACUGUGGAGGGAAUGUAGAUAUGUGGAAUUUCAUUAACCAAACUGGAAUUCAGCCAAAACUUAGAUCAACAGUCCCAAUCUUGCAGAAAGCACAAGGGAAUUUCUAAUAGUUGGUAAGUGAACUGAGCUUUCAUUUUGAUGUCACCUUGACAAUUGUGGUGUAAGCAAUCUAAUAGCUACUUUUCUAGGGAAUCUAUUCGGUAAUGUUGUGAAGGAGAUGGUCUGUACCACUCUAGUAAAUUACUAGUAAUUACUAGAGAUUACUGCUGGCAACAUUCUAUCUUGGGUUUAGUUUUCAUAUAAGCACUAAGCUGAACCUUGGCAUUUGAGAACAGGCCAGAGUACAGCUUGAAGUAGUAGAGCUGCAGGCAUAGAAUGGUGCAGUUGCAUGCCCAUUAGAAUUUUUAACGUGCUGGAGUUUUUGGGUUUUUUUCAAUUUUUUCCCACUGUUGUUAUGCAAGUUGUAUAAUGGACUUCAUAAGUUAAUUAGGAAUGGGAUCUUGAGUAUAAAAGUAAGUGCUUUAUUUCUUUUUUUAAUCUAUCUGUUAGCCUGUAGUAAGAGGACAGAAAUACUGAGCAUUAGCUAGUUUACUGAAAAGGCCGACUACUGAUAGCAGCUUUGGUACGCAUAAGGUGUGAUUUAUAGAUGCAAAUUCUAAUUUGUUCUUUAUACCAGCCUAAGGCAGUACAGUUAUUCUGCAGUGAAGUGAAGGAUUUUGGUAUGUCCUUGUGUGAUCCUUCAAUACAAAUAUGACUAUCUAUCAGAUAUACAUCUUUGCCUUACAGAAAAGGAACAAAAUUUAGAUACAGAAACUAAUAAUCUUGACAUGUUUCUUGUUUGUUGUGUAAAACAUCUUGGAAUACUAGUGUUUUAAUAAAAGUAUACAUACUUUUUUCAUUCAGACUGAAGUGGCUAUUGUGUAGAAGUCUAUUAUUAUAAAAUAUUCCAAAUAUAGUUCGAUCUGUACAAUUAGUUUCUAGUACAGCUGUCACAUGUGUCUUCCCAGUCUGCUUCCAUCUCCAAGCACAAUUUUUCUAGGAAUAUCUGAGUUAAUAUGCUUUGAGUUUUCUUCUGUGUAGACCAGGAAACAGUGAUGUUUGUGGGUUUUUUGAAUGUCAACUUAUGUGAGUGUGUGAGGAACUGAGGUGGAGUUCUGUUAUAAAGCUGUUAACCAUGCUUCCUCUUGAACAAAUUGACCUUUUCCUUCUUACUUCCCUUUGCUGUCAGGAAAGAUCUUUCAUAGAGUAGUAGUUCUACAAAGUGCAGCCGUAGCAUAGAUUAGGAGUUGUAACAGAGUCAACAAAGGAUUCUUUGUCUUGUUAUACUCAGGCAAAGAUUCUGUUGCUAUAAAUAAUGCAUGUUUUAAUUAGAAACUGCAAAUGGAAAUACCAGUCUUUAUAGGCUUGUUGAUUUCAGUAUAAUCUGUUAGGGGCAAAUUCUGCUUACAUGCUGAACACACAGCACAUUCUUCAAAUUUGUGGUUGGUUGUUUUUAUUAGUACUACCUGUGCUAGUGAGUUCCUUCCUAUAAAUUAAGAAAAAUGUCAUGCCUAGGUAAUCAUCUGGGAAUUUCUGUCACAGUAUACUAUAAAAGUUACCUUACAUACUGUGACAAAACUGGCUGCCCGUUGAUUUUGAGAGUUCUAGAUUCCAUUUCUCCUGGUUAGUGUUAAUAGGAUCAUGCACCAUAUCAACUGAAAGUAAAUUUAACUAAUAGUAGGGGAUGAAUGUAAAAGCAGAUAAUGAGCAUACUAAUUUCUUGCCAGAUUCCCCUGGGAUUAAUCACGCUGUGCCUGAUGUUCUCCACAGGUUUAGGCAUGCAUGCACAAUUACCCUGGCUAAGCUGAUACCUGGGUAGUUCACGAAGCUGAAAUACCCAUCAGUCAAAGAGAGUGAGCACAACCUUUUUGUGCCUUUUUAAUUAGAUUGGUUUAAAAACGUAGCUGAAGGCCUCUUUUAAACAUAACACUCUACCAACUUCAGUUAAGGUGUCCCAACAGUUACCCGAGUGGUGCAUAAGUGUGAACAGAAAUCUGCAUGAAGGCUGUUAGUUUCCUUUGCACCAGAUUGAUUUUUUUUCUUUACUUUGGAUAAUUUCUGUUUGUAUGCAUUGACCAGUCUUGUUUUAAACUCAUUUGACAGUGUCAACAUGAAAUGUGCACAUUCUUUUUAGUAGUUUAUAGUUGCUAAAACAGUAAGUAAGGCCCCACCCAACUUGUAGAACUGUAGAAAAAAAAAGAGAAACAGAUUAGGGUGGCCCAAUGUCCAAUUGAUGUCCAGUUUGGGCACCCUAAUCUCCUGCUGUUUGUGGGCAAGCCUGAGCAACAUAUCUGUAGAAUGCUUAUAAGAAGUGGAAUUUAGGAAUGAAAUAAGAUUUAAAUAUGUAGAACUCCUAAGCGAUGUGAAAUCCUUCUGUGAGUGACUGAAAGCUGAUUUUAGAAAAUGCUGUAGUAAUACUAGACACCUGGAGCAGCCCAGGUGGGUAUGGAUUGAGUUACAGGUGAGCUGAAGUGUUUCAGAGUCCAAUGCAGAAGAUGCUGACAUUGAGCAAGGAGCCUUCAGAUUAAGAAGCAAGGCUGAAUGUAGGAUUGAGUUUUACCCCUAAUCUUCAGACUUAAGUGCUUCCAGCUGAUCAUGAUUCACUUGUGAACUCUUACCUCCUUGUCUGAUGACUGGAGUUAGCUUUGACAAAACACAGCCAGGGAAAAUCCUGGAGCCUCUACUUUAGUUUACUUGCAUGUGUGAAGAUAUUGCACGGUGGUUCAGAUCAUUCCUUUGCAGAGGAGGGUAGGGUUUCAUAUUCUUUGUUUCCCAAGAGAGUACAAAAAGGUAAAACCUAUUGGAAAUGAGGUUCAUCAAGUGCUCCUAUAAAAGUGUUAUUUAUGCAUGAGGACACCAGGCUUCUAAUUUCUAUUCCAGCGAACAUUUAAAUUUUCUAUAUUAACUGGAACAUGUAUUAAAAAUACAAAGCAAGUCGGGGCAAAAGUUAUAUAAGGAAAAGUAGUUCUGUUUUAUGCAUCAGUCUUUUCAAAUAUACCUGUCCUUUUAGAACAGUAGCAAGAAUAAAGAAGAAAGGUAACUUCCUUCCCUUCCCUUAGAUUCUUCUUGAAAACAAAUUCAGCAUAGCUAAUAAAACUAAAAAAGGUAGGAAGGAGAAGUUUGACUUAGAUGGAAUGCUCAAACCUGUUUUUUGUUGGAGGACCAAUAGUUAAAGCACUGCUUGCUGCAAGGCAAUGUAUUGUAUUAGUCUGUUAUUCUUUUCUUUAUCAUAACUAAAUAGGACGUAGUGCUGUACGUGAUGUACGUUGUUUGAUUGCAUUACUCGAAAGCAUGCUGAAUAAUUUUUCAAGUUUAUUGAUAACCUAAAUCAAUGUUUUUAACUUAGCAUUCCUCUUUUCAAAGGUAAUUCUGCAUAUAACAGAAAAUGUAAAAGGCCAACAGAAAUAAAUUUGCUACUAACACAGCUGCGCGGUCAGUGGAAAAUGUCUUAAACAUUUAUGGAUUAUUUUUCCUCUUUUAAAGUGUAUUGAUAAUUUUCACAAUAAGCAGCUGCCUGUGGACUCUUAGAUACAGAAAACACAUGCCAAGAGAUGGCAUGUGAAGAUGAACAAGCAGACAUGGAUGGGGUAGGUGAAAGUUCCGUGCUGUAAAUGGAUAUUCAGCAUUCUUCUGGGUCGUUGCCUUGAACUCCACACCCAGUGAGUAAUAGUGAUACAGCAGUGACAAACCACUAUUGCCCAGGGAGAAAGAAACUCUUUUUGUGUCCAUAAGCAGGCAUAUUCAAAGGUAUGCCCAUAAGCUGUUUCUCAAAGUGCUGACUGAAUUGAACUGGUCUUGAUUUAUUCUGGUCUGAAUUGUACUGAUUAAUAGCUGUUAGUAGGAACAGAGGAAUUUUCCUUUUGAUAGGUGGGGCUCAUAGCCUUGUCAGUUCAAGUCUUGCUGAAGAACAAAGUGUACUGCUAUAAUUAUUAGUAGUUCUUAUCCCAGGGGAAAGGAAUCUGUAGCACUGCUCUUUUGUGUCAUGAGGAAUACUUGUGACAGAAUUUUCUUCUACUUGCCAGUGUGGAUUGGCAAGAAAUUAUGGCUCCUUGUCCCACCUGUCUCUCCAGUGGCUCCUCUGGCACUGGGGUUACGUGCACUAGCAGCUCUUGUCCAGAAUGAGAUUGCUCAUUCCCAGGUUUUGUUACUGAUGCACUUGUUGUGAGCCAGCGUCCCUCUUUGGCUUCUAGUUUUUAAGGGAUGGGUGUAGCCAGUGUUAGCAAAUUCCAUGCAAUGGUAAAUAGCGAAAUCACUGUUUAUUGUAAUUUUUCUGUUCAUACGCAAAUACAAGGAAAUAAAUAAUGUAAUCUUUUUAUAUCCUAAGAAAGCAUCAGCAAUAGUUGGUGUGACUGGCUUAAGGCAUUUGAUUGUUGUCUGUAUUUCGGAAAUGAUGUCUUGGUGUUUGGAAUGCUUUUUCUUCACUUGCCAUCUGCUAUGUGGAGGUGCAGCAGUUCAGUUUUCACGUGGCACCUUUCAUUUCUGUUUCCUUAGCAGAAAGUGAGCAAUGCAGCACACCUUCCACAAUUAAACCUGUCUUGGUCACUGCUGGAGAAACAGGCAGAAACAGGUCUUUUAAUAGAAACUGUCUCUAAUAAAACUGAGACAAACAUGUCCUGUUAAAGAUUUGGGGAAAUCUCUUAAGGCAAAACGCCUACUUCCUAAGGAUGGACUUCACUUGGCCUUCCUUCUAUUGUACUUUUCUUCCUGUAGAUGACAGAUAUGGUUAAAUGCUGGUACCAGUCAAGUUAUUGAGAGCGAAGCGAGGAUUUCAUGUGCUGCAUCUACAGGCAAUGGCUUUACUCCCCACUCUGCUAGAAGAGGUCAUGCUGGCUGCUACUGAAUCUUUCCAACCUGCUCUUGUAUUAAUUUUGAACUCUCCUGGGUCCAGAUGGGUGGUCUUUCCAAACUUCAGUAGCCUAAAAAGUCAUGCAUCCCAUUUAAAAUUGGGCACCUGGAUUCCUUCUAGAGCUAAUGGAGGCAGUAUUUAUUUCUUAGGAGUAAUUACUCCCACCUGACUGGGAGUUGUGGGGUAGCAAGGUGGUCACUUCCUAGAUGUAACCACAGCAGGAUCUGUUCUAGUAGCUGUUACCUCUGCUCUCUGCAAACCUGAUGUUACAGCAGGAUCUGCUUAGGGACCAUUUUAAGGUUAGAUUUUCAGUAAAAUGAAGUGCCUUGAGUAGUCAAACUGGUUAUUAAAACUCCUUUUUGGGAUCUGUCUGAAAAUUGCAAUGGUAUUAGAAAAAGACUAGUCCCUGCAGUCUACUGCUCAAUGUGGAAUUCAGAUGAAUAAGAAAAGCAGUAUUGUCCAUCAUGAUAUUUUAGAAAGCUCCUCAGACUAAGAGUGGUGAAAGACCCCUACUAUGUGAAAGAUUUGAAGACAGAGUAACAUACUAGCAUAGCUUUUAAGGCCAAAAGAGAUCAUUAGAUCAACAUCUCCCAGGCAGCAUGCAGACCACGUUUAGCUCAGAAGAUAACCUGCCGGUAGUCAUAGCACGAAAUUGGUUUUGCAGUAUUCUCAGUUCCAUGAAUAGCAAAACUAAUGAAGCUUUAUUUCCUCAGUGUGUCUAUGCAUGUCUUGCCUCCUCCCAUGGGAAUUCUGGAAUUCUCUUGUGUCUAAUGCUGUGGCAGAUUUCUCAGGGGAGGCGCGGGAGGUGAGUAGGGAGGGGAUAUGAGAUUCUGUUUAUUUUCACCAAUUAUUUAAGGGUUUAGUGUUUUAGAAACCCCCUUUCUUUCUGUUGGUUAAUAUUUGCCACUGGGUUCCAGAAUUACUAAGAGGCAGUGGACAGACUCAUGUCUAUGUGGAGCACAAAGACACGUGGUUUAUUUUCGUAGGAAACUUGGCAACAAAUUUAGAGUGAGAGGUGUGGUGAUGUGUUAACAGUAUUGAGAAAUUACUAAUUUCAAAGUGUGGUUGGCCCCAAAAAGCACAGAAAGGCACUUGUGUCAGUUCUGUUACAUUGCUUGUUCUCUGUAGUUCAUUCCACAGAACUUCAGUGUGCCAGCUCUGCUUAGACAAGAGGUGGCUUGUGUUUUACGAAAAUACUAUAUAAUUUAAAGCGGAAAAAGAAAUGUACUGCUUCUGUUCAUCAUCUGUCUCAGCAGUGUGUCACAGUUAAGAUUUGCUUAUUUUAUUUCUAAAUCUGUGUUGUUAUUUUUAGCUUUAAUUUUUUAGUAUAGGUUCUUGCAGUUCAUUUCUCUGCUAGGUUAAACAACCCUCUAAGUUUUCACGAUGAAGUGGGGGGGGGGGUGUGUGUGCUGUAAGUGGAUCAUUCUGGAUUUUGUUUUUGAUAAACGCAGCACUUUGAACUCUUUAAGCCCCUGUAGUAGGGCCUUUUCUCUAGCCUUCAUGUUACUAUGGCUUUUCACUCUGUGAUUGUAACCAGUGUGGUCAAAAAGCAAUUUCUAAAUUACUUGUCAGACUCUGUAUGCUUUCUGGCUGGCAAAUAACCUGCAGAAAGAGAGUGAUAUCCUCUUUCCUAUCUGCUUUGCACAAUAAAAACAUAAGAUAAUGUAAGAAUGGCAACAUCAACUGUUUGGGGUUUUUUCCAAUGUGGCUGUGAAGAUGCUAGCACAGUACAAGCUGUAAAACAAGCUAAUUUAUGGAGUUGCAUUUUUAUAAUGUUUAGCUUUCCUUUUACAGCUCUUGCAUUCAUUAGCAAGUAUUUGUUGAACCACGCUGUUCCUUUGAGAUCCUCAAAUACCCUGCUCAAAGCCAGGCAGUGUGUGCAUUCAUGAAGAUGUUGGCCUAUCACAAUGUUUCAAUUUUUCUCUCUAUGAAAACCAAUUUAAACUUAUUAUUGCCAGCUGUUCCUUUCUACGUGUCAUUAGCGAUCCUGAUUGAUGCAACUCUUUGCCCUGUAGAGGGGAAGCAUCAGGCUUGUUCUGUUAUGUUAACUUGUCUGACAAACUACCAUCACAGAAGAUUUAAAGCUGUAAGCAGAAAAAGCAUGUGUUUUACCAGAGUUUGCUCUUUUAAAAAUGUCUUUGGAAGUAAUAGUUUAUUAAUUUAUUAAUUACAAUAAUAAACAAAUGUUAUUAAGUUUACAGUUUGUCUCAGUUUUAUCCAGAAUUGUCAUCCUGUUGUGGGUUUUUUUGGUAAAUACUUGCAACAGUUUUGUUAACUUGCCCCUGUCUGAUGCAUGAAAGAGUCAUCUCUGGAACAGUGGCUGUUCCACGCAGACACAGUGAUCUGCUUAAUCCUUAGUCUCUGAGGAUAAUCAAUAGAUACAAGUUAACUAUUUCACCUUAUGGCUAAACAUUAAUUAUGCAGAAUGUGCUAGUGUCCUUUUUUUUUUUAGGAGCAUUUUAACUGCACAUAUUCAGUGAUUAAGUGCUGGCAGGUCAUUUUCUUUGUCUGCUGCUGCAAAGCAAAGUUAAAACUUAGCUGGCAGCAACUGUGCCUCUAGCUGAGUGAUAAGUUGUAUGGGUUUAAGACAACGCUACUGACAGAAAGGAUAGGUUGAAAAUCAGAUUCUUUUGUUGUUACAAAACAGCCAGGCUAGAAUGAAAUGGCAGUAGUUCAAGCACAUGCUAGACAAACCAUAUGUUCCUUACAGUGAAAUGAAGUGGUGUUGUAUAUCGGUAUUGCUAAGCAUAAGGACAACAGCUCCAGCUUCCAGAACUGCUGGCAGGAGUCCUACCUAGAAGAAAUGUACUCUUUCUUUGUCCUUUAAAAGUCAUUUAGGAGUGAAGCCAACAUCUGUUUCUGCCCAUCUCAUGUUAGAGCAAGAUGUACUGGCAAAACAUGCCUGAUUUAAGGGAGUGGACAUAAUUAAUAAAUUUCAACUAUAUAUGCAACUGAGUUCUAAAACAGACAGCUAAAAUAAUUACAAAACUAUCACUUCUUGAAUACAGGACUGCAAAGAAUCUUGUGGGUCAUUGAAUCUCAUCUCUGUUCUCCCAAGAGUUAGAUGAAUUCUGGUUAAUUUAUCAAAUUCCAUUUUGGGAUUUGUCAUUUGCUCACCCAUUGGAAAAUGGCUCCAGCGUUCUGAUUCUCUCCUACCUUAAAGUCAUCUUCCUAUUCUCACCACAAAUUCUGGACAUUUUCUGUGUUUUGAUGUCUGUAUACAUUUGCUCUUAGAGCUCUUCUUUUUCUCCCUCAUGCUUCUUUUGAGAGUGCUUUUCUAGAGAGCAUGCUGUCUUCUGCAGAGCCAGAAGCAACAGAAACACUUCUCUGGUAAACUGAUAUUUUAGAUGAGACUUCCUUUAUGAUCUGUGUUUGACGCCUUAGAUAUGAUACUAAGUUCAAGAGAAGCCCAGUCUUAAGAACAUGUCUAUAUUAACUGUGAACACACUCUUUUUGGAUUGGAGCAGUGUGUUUUCCCCCAAGGGUUCUCCAAAUAUGUUUUAGACUAUCACUAACGGUGAGGGAAAAUAGUAAUGGGAACAGUCAAAUCAAAAGUUGUGUAUCUGCAGGCCAUCUUCAGUGAAGAAGAAAUGAGAGAUUUGUUACUGAGGAUAUAUUUUCUCAGCCUGUGGGCUUUUGUGGAACUCUUGGCUGAGUAAAAACACAGGGACCAGGCCUAAGACAGCUACUUGUAACCUUAUAUAAGUUUAAAUGCCAGCAAUUGGCAGCUGAUUUGUCACUUUUCUAAAACUACAAAAUCUGUGCUAAAACAUUGCUGGUAAUGGUGGAAUAAGGAUGCAGAGUCAGCAAUGUGAAAUAUGUUAAGUCAACUGUUUGUGUGUAGUGUAAUAUAUUGAGGAAAUUCCAGCUGUAAGGUGUGUUGUCUGUGUUUAAGACUGUCCCCAGGUGAAAUACUGUCUGCCUGUGCUGCUGGACAUGGAAAACUUGAUCUAGAAAGUGGAAACAGGCCUCUGUUACUUCACUUGAAUGUUAGCAUUGAACUUAAUGGAAGCUUAAUUUUAGCCUACCCUUAAAAUUUCAUUUUAAUCUUUUCUAAUUAAAGUCACUUAAAAUCGAACUCCAUAAUUGUGUGUUUGACCUGGGGUACAAGUAUCUUGGGCCUUGUCCAGAUUGUGUAAGGAGGGUGAGGUAAGGUGAUCACUGGCAGAAAUCCAGAUGGAAAACACAUUCCCUGUAUCUUUUCCAGGCAAGGGUUUCUUCAACCUGUUAACUAAGGCUGAUGCUUCUUCAGUGUUUCUUCUUAUUGUAGAGAAAUCCUCAGUGAAUAGCAAAUGUCUUGUUCUCAUCUGAAAGCUCGAUUUUUGUGCUUCACUGCUGGCUACUUUUGGGCACACCAUUAACAGUGGUUUAGAGAAAUGCUCAAUUGCUCUAUGGCUGGGAGAGGAGUUUGAGAUAAUGGGUGGAGAAAAAGUGCUGAUUGAAGACCUAGCUGUUGACGCUUUAGAGCUGUGUAGUAGAAAAGGCAGUUUAUCCAGCAUGGAAGUGGUGAGUGAGCCUAAUCAUCUGUGGGUAGAUUUGCUGGAAGGCUGUGGUUUUUGUCCUUGUCGAGGAAGAAAACCCAAAUCUUUUAAAGGCUUAUCAUUCCAGCUUUACAAUUUGCAUGACCUUAAUGAGUGACUGUACACACCUGAAUUAUUGUAUCUCCAUAGGAGGAUAAUUGUAUGAUCUCAUCCUUUUCACAAAUCCCAUUGUCUUUUAUGUGGUGCUUUAACUAAAUCAGAACAGAGAUAAAAACUCAUAAGCCCUGCUGUGACUCAGGCAUGGGUAAGACAAUGACAACGCAGGCAAAUGCUGAAGGAAAUUGCUCAGACUGAGAAGUGUAGCUAUACACUGUUCAUUACCCACCCCUGCCUUCCUAUGCCCACACCCUCAGGAUCUUUCUCUGCUUGUUUCAGGUCAUGAUGUUAUUAGCUCUGGUACUGUGCUUUGCAUACUGGGUAGCAGAAUGAAGUGCAUGUCAGAAGGUAAAUCUCACAUGUUCACUUUGGCUUUGCCCUCUGACUUUUGCACUCUUGGGUUUGGUUAUGAUGUCAUGUGCUAAAAAGUAGAGGAGAUGAAGCCAUUAGUAACAAGUCAUUUCCUUCUUUUCUUAUUUUCUAUUCAUGUUAGUGACUCUGUUAGUGAAAUGCUUUCACUCUGAUCACUCUGCGUCGAUCUUGCCUGAAGUUGUGUGUUGUGCUGACUGCUGUCCAGGAAAGGAGAAAACAAUUUAAACUCUCCAUGCAGUGACAACUGAAAUAAAAGCCAUGGGAACUGCUAAGCAACUUGGUGAAGUGUGAGGAGCAUGUGGCUUGGUGGUUUCCUCAGUGCUGACAACUAACGUAAGGGACCAAUUUCGGCUUAGCCCUAUGGGUAUGCAGCAGAAGUAGUAGGAAACCUACAGAAUCAGGAUAAACUAGUAUAUACCCCAAACUUAGUCACUGAUCUCCCAAGAAAGCAUGAGAAGUACAGAGGUGCUAGAGGGAGGCUUAAGACUGGGAAAUGGCAUUGUGUUAUGUUGUUUGACUUGUACUGUGUGUAUCAGUACAGGUUUUUGAGGUCAGGUCUGUAGCUGGUAGAAGUCGUGAUAGUAAAAAGUGUUGACACCAAUUUUCCUUAUAAUUUAUUUUUCUGAAUCACAUGGCAACUGCAAAGGAAUUUGUUCUCAUUAGCAUGAGGCAAAAAUCUUAAACGCUUGGAUAAUUCAAGUAAAAAACCUAACAUAUCUUCAGAUGAAAAUGUAACUUUGGUCCACCUGCAAACUGUCCAACCCAGUCACGUUAAUGGAAUAUAGUUCAUCAUCAGUAGCAGCAGGGACAUCUAUAGCCAGAUAGAAGCAGACUUCUGUUGACACAGCAGUAUUAGCCAGGGAUAUGAGAAGGUGUGAGCUGUGGCUAGUGGAGCCAGGCUUGGAAAAACCUCCAAAUGCAAAUGCAGUUACACCUAUGUAAGUGUUGUAGUGUUAUAGGAUGUCUUUCAGAAGGGUUGCCGAAUACAGUGAUUGUGCUGCUGUUAAGUUACAUCCCCAUUAGGCAUGCACUGUUGGCUGCAUAGGCUGAAACAGUUACUCCAGCAGAAGGUCUUAUUAGUCUAGAUCAGAUAUAUAAUCUUUUAAGACCUGACUUCUUUAUUACAGCAGUUAAUAAUUAGCAGGCUUUAGGUAAAUGGGGGAUCUGAGGCUUUCAGCAAACUGUGGAAGACUGGAUAAAGCUGCCAAAACCAGCCCGUGCAUCAUGGCACUUGUAAAAUAGUAAUUACAGACCCCCUUGCAAGCACAACACAGGAGAAAAGUAGAUUUUAAAAAGUAUGUGUUUUAUUCAUAAAUCAGUAGGUUGCCGGGUUUUAAUGCUGAUUUUUGUCAAGAGUUACCAAAAUACAUGAUGUGUAAUACCAAGGGAAGUAGAAAUGUUUUGCAGGGAUUUAAAAACAUAAUACAAUGUUUGGGUUUGAGUGAUGAAGGAGAAGCAAUACUGCAUCUCAUCUAAGUUUACCCUGCAACCUAACUCCCAGUGCUUUUGCAGUCCAUCCCAGUCCCAAAACCAUGUACCUCCCUGGGAACAGCAGGUGCUUCACAUCUAACAGAGCUCUUUUCUCCUUCCCCUUCCUUAUUUAUGGAGCGUUUCUCCUUGUCUGGAAAAAGUGCUGGUGAUCUUUUGCCUAGUUAAAAAUAAACAAGGUUCCAGAAAUGAAUAAUAAACAGAGCUAGUAAUAUUAAAUAAGCAAGCUGCUCUCUUAGAGGAAGAAUGAAGAAAUAAAACUAACUUUUUCUAGCUAUUUGCUUUAUUUUAACAACAUGAUUUGCAGUAAUGCUUCCAGCACAGGGAUUCUUAGAGAGUUAUAACUCUUCUGCUCUGUAAUUUGUUGCAGUUUUGGACAAUCUAAGCACUGAUACUGAUGGCAGAGUGGGGAAAGUGUGACAAAUUUGUUCUUAUGUGUACACUAGCACUUGCAUUAAUCUCUAGUUUAUAUGUGCCCGGAAGGAUUCACAUCCCUCCCCUCCACGUAUGGUCUCCAUGUGUCUGAGAUUUGUUACAUUCCAGUCAAUGCAGCAUAAAUCCUUAUUAGAUAGGUCGUAAUGAUUCUUGCUAUUCAGCUAGGGCAUGUAUCUGAUGACUGUAUCCAUUUACUAGUAGAAUUUGAAGGAGGCUUCUAUUGAAACUUAUAAUAAAGCAACCUUUGGAUUUUUAAUCUCUCUAACUAGUUUUAUUAAUUCUUCCUCUUCACACUGACUUCUUAAGGCAUCUCUGUGAAUAUGUUGCCAAAUUAAGACGUUGCAGAGAAAAAUAUCAGAAGAGAAGAAAAAACCUUCAGAGGCAAAAGAAAGAAUUUUUUGUAUGUGUGAUCUGAAAUGAGGCUGAGAACUAGUGAAGUGAAGUACCACCAGGAAAACUGCUACAGUCAACACUGCUGGUGAGAGCUGUAGUGGAACACCUUGUUUCGGUAGGCAGAUGAAGAAACCUUGAGGCUCUGUUUCUCUGCAACACAUCUGGGACACUUAAACCCAUUUUUAAUGACAUAAAGACAAAAGGAUGGAAAAUGAGGCUUAACUGCUAGUUUUAGUGUAAUACAGUAAAUGAUCCUAGGGCCUGAUCCGGUGAUGUGGUGAGCAUUCUUCAACGUCAUCCAGUAAAAGCAAACAAGGAAAGUGAACUUUUUCCAUAUGGACUGCCACAGAUGAUUCACUGCAUGUCCAAAUAUUUCGUGGGAAAACACACUAGCUAAUAACAUUUAGGGUAAGCAAGAUUAUGAGCUCCUCUCACUGAUCCAAAACUGUCAUCCCUGCUCUGCUUUAAAAAAAUCUUCUCUAGAAUUUCUGCUGUGUAUCUCUUCAGGAGAUAUUUUGGGGCAUGAAUUCUUGUUUUACCCUUCAAGUUUUCUAUUUGCUGUUACAGUGUCUCUUGUGAAGGCCAAUGGAAAGUGAUUUUGAAGUCAUUCAGCAUGGGCCAUCCACUGUGGUUUGGUGUCUGUUAUGUUGCUGAUCAGGUUAGCACCAUUGAACUGUUGUGUGUGCUUAUCACAGGAGACAAACAAGCAGAUUUGCUGAGAGCGAGGGACAUCUUUACACUUAAAAACCCCCAAAUUCUGGUUAUGUCAGAUGGGCUUUGUAGAAAAUGUUACUACUCGACACGCUUACUUAAGAAAGGCUUUAGUAUUUGAAACCCCCAAUCUUACCCGUGGGUCGAUGUUGUUGUCAAUCUACAUUCUGUAAGCCUUGGAAAAAAUAAUGUAGUUUUGAUAGUUAUUAUGUGAUUUGGCCUGCAUCAGAAAUAUGGCUUUAAUUCAGAGUUUACUAAAAAAACUGGGAAGUGUCUAAAUGUAAAAGGUUGAAUUUGCUUCCUUCCUGGCAUAAAAAAUAACCAACCAGCCCUUUGCCCCCAGAUAGUACUGAUUUGUGGGGGAGUGAGCUAAGGAACUUAACCCUCCAAAGUAGAUGGACAUUCUGAAAGAUUAGUUUUAUUAAUUUAAAUAACUAUACAGUUACUUAUAUAUUUAUAAGUAUAUAUUUAUAAGUUGCAGAUAUCUGUAUUUAUUGUUGAAGUCUCUAAAAUCUGGUUUCCAGAUGGCAGUCUGGUAGGUUGUCUUAUCACCAAACUUACUCCCUCUUAUUGAUGGAGGGGUUUAAAACCAAGUUCACUCUCAGAAUGUAAAGUACAGAGCAGGAAUCACUAGCUACCUGGAACAGGCAAGGAAGUUUCAUGUGAGGAUGAGAAGUUGAGAAAUUUUAGUACAUCAAGCAAAAGAAGAGACAAGAUUUAAAACUAGUAGCAGG